AAAAACCCCAGGCACUUGGAAUUUCAAAAGGUUACUGUUAAAGGAAACCAGACACCUCAAGUUAAGGAAUUUAGUGCUUUUCUACGUAUGGGAAGAUGCAAGAGUCUGGGCUCAUUGAAAUCAUU